UGUGAGUCAUUGCAGUAAUGCAAGGCAGACGGCUCAGUAACACGUAGUCAACCUACCCUAUAGACGGGGAUAACCUCAGGAAACUGAGGAUAAACCCCGAUAGAUCAUUAUGCCUGGAACGGUUUAUGGUCCAAAUGAUUCGUCGCUAUAGGAUGGGACUGCGGCCUAUCAGCUUGUUGGUGAGGUAAUGGCCCACCAAGACUAUUACAGGUACGGGCUCUGAGAGGAGUAGCCCGGAGAUGGGUACUGAGACACGGACCCAGGCCCUAUGGGGCGCAGCAGGCGAGAAAACUUUGCAAUGUGCGAAAGCACGACAAGGUUAAUCCGAGUGAUUCCUGCUAAAGGAAUCUUUUGUUAGUCAUAAUACCACUAACGAAUAAGGGGUGGGCAAGUUCUGGUGUCAGCCGCCGCGGUAAAACCAGCACCUCAAGUGGUCAGGAUGAUUAUUGGGCCUAAAGCAUCCGUAGCCGGCUUUGUUAGUUUUCGGUUAAAUCCAUAUGCUCAACAUAUGGGCUGCCGGGAAUACUGCAAAGCUAGGGAGUGGGAGAGGUAGACGGUACUCCGUAGGAAGGGGUAAAAUCCUUUGAUCUAUGGAUGACCACCUGUGGCGAAGGCGGUCUACCAGAACACGUCCGACGGUGAGGGAUGAAAGCUGGGGGAGCAAACCGGAUUAGAUACCCGGGUAGUCCCAGCUGUAAACUAUGCAAACUCAGUGAUGCAUUGGCUUGUGGCCAGUGCAGUGCCGCAGGGAAGCCGUUAAGUUUGCCGCCUGGGAAGUACGUACGCAAGUAUG
rnacentral:rRNA from 1 species